UGCAAGUCGAGCGCCCCGCAAGGGGAGCGGCAGACGGGAGAGUAACACGUGGGAACGUGCCCUUUGGUUCGGAACAACACAGGGAAACUUGUGCUAAUACCGGAUAAGCCCUUACGGGGAAAGAUUUAUCGCCAAAGGAUCGGCCCGCGUCUGAUUAGCUUGUUGGUGAGGUAACGGCUCACCAAGGCGACGAUCAGUAGCUGGUCUGAGAGGAUGAUCAGCCUCACUGGGACUGAGACACGGCCCAGACUCCUACGGGAGGCAGCAGUGGGGAAUAUUGGACAAUGGACGCAAGUCUGAUCCAGCCAUGCCGCGUGGAUGAUGAAGGCCCUAGGGUUGUAAAGUCCUUUCGGCGGGGAAGAUAAUGACGGUACCCGCAGAAGAAGCCCCGGCUAACUUCGUGCCAGCAGCCGCGGUAAUACGAAGGGGGCUAGCGUUGCUCGGAAUCACUGGGCGUAAAGCGCACGUAGGCGGCUUUCUAAGUCAGGGGUGAAAUCCUG
rnacentral:rRNA from 1 species